rfam:Shewanella sp. MR-7, complete genome.
CCUGUUGUGCAACCAGCAGUAGCCUAGGGAUAGUGCGCCACCAGUAAUGGUGGGGUGUGAAGCUUCCUGACAAUGUAUUCCCCAUUCACUGGGUUUGGUUUUACCGUGAGGUAGGCCAAAGACUUCACCAGUAGCAGGCGGAUGAGAGA